rnacentral:tRNA from 1 species
GCUGCUAUGGCUCAGCAGGUAGAGCACGUCCUUGGUAAGGACGAGGUCGUCGGUUCGAAUCCGAUUGGCAGCUCCA